ensembl:lncRNA
AUGAUGAAUGUACAAUGUAUUUGCUUUGUGAUGGCUCAACAAAGCAUGGCAAAAUGGAGAAGCCGGAGAGGUCACCCUGAAAACAGUGAUAUCACCGCCCCCACAUUCCGGCUCCAUGGCAUAAUCUUUGUUUUUGCAGGCCCAACUGUCGGUACCCAUGGAGAUCUUCAUGCCCAUCGGAGGCAACUCUGACCCGGACACCCGACACCAGCUGCUCGUUCGGUCUUCUGUAGACACAACUCUCUCAUAACAUCACACAACAACUCUCACAGCUCCAGACUGACUUCAAUAAGAUGCCGAAAGCACUCAUAAUGAGCAUAGUGAACAACUAAGUCCUAAAAGAACAUAAGCAGAUGUGAAACUGGCAGAUUGUCUAUGCAUAACAUAAUGAAAAUCUUAUUUGUGCUUGUGCAUGACUUGCCAUCUGAAACAUCAUUUACGUGCAGUAUGUAACUUUUUUUGUUGAAAAAAAAAAAAUCAGAUAUUAAACAAGUACAUAAUACAUGAGACAUCAGUGUUCAAAACAGUCUUUUUACAUUAACUCAAUUUGCAACGGCAAGCUUAAAAUAAUUAUGUUCAGUUUCAGGUGUCUGGCCUGAUUUCACGGGAAAUUGAUGUCCUUCGUCAGUUUGAUGUCUUUGCGUGGUUUCUUCACGUCCGUGAACAGAAAGAAGUCCCGGCUGCUUGCUUGAUGUCUUGUGAGGAGCGUACAUUUAAAUGUUUCAUCAGAAGGGAUUAUUUAAUUGAUCAAUUUAUAAAAGGCAAGCAUCGCUAACAUCUGGGGAAGCUGUUGUCAAAACUAAGAAACCUCACAGUGCGGAGAGUCUGCAGUAAAAAAAAAAAAAAAUUAUAAUUUAAAGUGACAGAGGCUUGUGCUAAAACGAGAGUAAAUAUCAGCAUGGCUUUUCCACCUUUUUCUUCAACGCGGAAGUAAGCCUACGGGUGAGAUUUCCGGUUCAUUAACCUCUAUAGGUAAAUAAUGAGGAGAAUAACAACGUGCAGUAAAUGGUAAAACUGUUUGCACUACAAACCAGUGUCCUCAUAAUUAAGAUAAUACAGUACAUUAAAAUAAUAUGAUAAGACACACCAACUUUCAAUAUCAAGCAGCAAAACGAACUGUUUUGUUCAGCUAAUAAUCGCUGGAUAGAAGGACGCAGAUGAGACCGGAAGCCAGACCCAUAAAAUUUACAAAUGGACGCGCCCAUUUUUACGUCAAGAAAAAGGUGGAUAAGAGGUGCCAACAACUCCGGGAUCUGAAGGGACUGAUGAAGACUGAAACAGAGAUGGUUUUCUAAAUGCUGAUAAGGUAAGACAUUUCAAGCUCAAUAGGUAACGUUAGCUAGCUAUCAUUAGAGCACUCGUUUGCUUGAUUCAGAUUCAGGUAUCGAGCUUUCUUUGUUGUUUUUUUUUGUCUCUUUUUGCUAUGGUGAGUGAGUUUAUUUAAUGCUAGCUAUGAGAGAGCGAGAGAGAGCACCUUUGCUCUAUAUUCUGUGUGAUCUGAUCUGACUGAGCAAUUGUUUUGAGCUAAAGGCCAGUAGUAAUGUGAUUUAUUUUAAAACAUUUAAAUUUUUUUGGUCAGAACAAAAGCAGCAGAUAUGUAACAUGUUUAGAUGACAUUUUGACGAUAUAUGUCUAGUAGGACGUACGUGGAUGUACAGGGUGACAAUAUUUUAGUUUUUCAAAAAGAGGACAGUAGGAUCUGGGUUCAUGGGCGGGAACAGGGGUGGGGCUUCGCCUAACAGUAUAGUAGCAAGGUUUCUUUCGUUUGUUUGUUCGCUUAUUUUGUUUUUAUAAUAAAUAAAAAGAAAACAAGUAGAAACA